CAGCCGCCACGGGAAUACGUAGGGUGCGAGCGUUAAUCGGAGUUACUGGGCGUAAAGCGUGCGCAGGCGGUUGUGUAAGACAGGUGUGAAAUCCCCGGGCUUAACCUGGGAACUGCGCUUGUGACUGCACAGCUAGAGUAUGGCAGAGGGGGGUGGAAUUCCACGUGUAGCAGUGAAAUGCGUAGAGAUGUGGAGGAACACCGAUGGCGAAGGCAGCCCCCUGGGCCAAUACUGACGCUCAUGCACGAAAGCGUGGGGAGCAAACAGGAUUAGAUACCCCGGUAGUCCCUGUCUCUUAUAC
rnacentral:rRNA from 1 species